GACGAACGCUGGCGGCGUGCUUAACACAUGCAAGUCGAGCGGUAAGGCCCCUUCGGGGGUACGACGAGCGGCGAACGGGUGAGUAACACGUGGGUGACCUGCCCUCAGCUCUGGGAUAAGCCUGGGAAACUGGGUCUAAUACCGGAUAUGACUCCAUGACGCAUGUCGUGGGGUGGAAAGCCUUGUGCGGCUGGGGAUGGGCCCGCGGCCUAUCAGCUUGUUGGUGGGGUGANGGCCUACCAAGGCGACGACGGGUAGCCGGCCUGAGAGGGCGACCGGCCACACUGGGACUGAGACACGGCCCAGACUCCUACGGGAGGCAGCAGUGGGGAAUCUUGCGCAAUGGGCGAAAGCCUGACGCAGCGACGCCGCGUGAGGGAUGACGGCCU
rnacentral:rRNA from 1 species